AUUCUACAAAAUAUGAAGAAAAGCUCGAUCGGGCAAAAAGUUAUAAUGCUAGUUGGUGUUGUGAAAUAAAAGACCUAUAACUCUGAAUUUUGCAGCACAAUUUAGGAAACUUUAACAUGAGGUAUAUAUUCUUAAUGCAGCAGAAUAUUCAUACUUAAACUUUGAUUCCCUAUUCAAGCCAACCCUAGUCAAAUAUGAAUAUGCAAUACAAUGGAAUGUUUGGAUAUCAAUAUAUUGAAUCAGUGGUCCUAGAUGAAAAAUAUCAAAGAUUACAUAUAUUGUAAUGUAAAACUUUGAUCCCUAUUGACGUCCCAUCCUACCCCCAAGCCAUGGUGUGAAGAUAAUUGAAUCUGUAGUACCUAGGGAUGCGUGCAUGAUAAUGAUGACAAGUCAUGACCCUAUUGGUCUUGAGAAGAACACCAAAAGUACAUUUUAUUUGCAAUUCUAUACAGAAUAAGACCGAUUGUUUUUCGUUCAAAGGUUAAACUUCAUUGGCAAAAAUUCACUACCGACUCUUGCAUCAAAACUAAUUCAAGCGUCAAAUGAGCCAUCAGAGUGUAUUGCUUACUAUGAAAUCAUAGGAUACAAUUUACUCAGAGCACCACAUUCUUAUUUUUUCGAAUAAAGGCCCAAUUUGAUUUGCACGGGUCAAAUUACCCCCGAUGCAACUUCCUAUGUAUGUAAAUCAUUAUGAUAUAGAAAUGUUUGCUGACGAUGCUACUUUACAUAUCCAAAAGAGUUAUGCACAUUGCAUGGAAUCAACACAAUUCUGAUUUGUGUGAAAUCUAAAAUUGUUGUUUACGAAACCAAAUGGGUUUCAAAAGCGUUGGAAAAGGGGGCAACCGGAGCACACACCCUACCCUCUUUUAAGAACAUCAGUUAUGUCAUUAUCAUUAAAACUGAUUUAAACUCCUUAACUAAUAUCCGUUUUCUAAUCAUUGCUUUUCUUAAUCUUUUAAUUAUUUUGUUCCUUUACCCCCCCCCCCCCCGCCCGCCCACACACAAUAAUAUCAGUUAUGUAAUUAUCAUUAAAAUUGAAUUAAACUUAAGCCCCAUCUUGUUAUCAUAAUACGUGUACAAGCUUUUUCUGAAGGUUUUUUUUUUUAUCCCUCCCCCUCAUCUAUUUCUUAUUCCGCAAUUAAGUUUUCUUUUUAACAGACUUUUUUCAAUGUAUCCGAAUCAAAUGAAAGCGAAAACGAAAUUGAUUUCUGCUUGUGUUUUGACAUUUUACGGCAUUGAAUCGGUCAUCCCGUGCAAGUAUCAUGUUUUGAAUGAUAGUAAAUAAGUAUCAGAUAUUAUGUCAUCCAAUCGAUAUUCUAUGCUUUGGCCAUCUCGGUAACUUUGACAUAUUGAUAAUACCUUAUGUAGGAGUAUACCUACACCUGCAGAUUAGUUUCAGUUUGAGUAAUUUGGUAUGGAAUUCAAUUUAUCAAUUGAUUUAAAACCAUUCCUUUCUCUUUUCAUAGCAUUGAAUCCUCAAAACACUGCUCACCCUUUUUGUAUUUCAUGAAUUAGAUAGAUAAAUUUAAUAGAAAUAUUAUAUUUCAGAAAAUACACAAGGGCAUGCACUACGCUGCCUUACGCUUGCAUACUUCAUGAAGCGCAUUUGCAUGUAUUUUCAAAAAAGAAAUGAUAUUUGUUUUUAGUUUUAGCGGAGAGAACUGAAUUGGAGACAUAAACACUGAGAUAAAGCACCAGAGGGUGGAGGUAUCUGGGACAUGUACUUAGAAUGAAGGCAAACAGCAUUGGAAGAAGAGCUAUAAAGUGGACACCACCUGGAAAGAGACAACCUGGGCGAUUGAGAGGGACUUGGAGAAAAAAUGUAGAGACAGAAAUGAAAGGGGACUUGGAUACAACUGGAACACCAUAAGGCGAGCAGUGCAUGACAGGAGCCAAUGGAGAGAACUUGUAGCCGUCUUAUUUGUAGACAUACACGAAGAGUAUUAAAUCAGCUGUCUUGGCUACUGGGAGUACAAGACCAACAGUCUGAUACAACAAUUUAUUACCAGACUGUUAAUAGGCACUGUCCCUUGGUGCUCCCUGUAAUCAGGUCAACAUAUCGUGUUUUGGUUUUUUUUAUUCUCUCAUAUAACGCUAUUAUUCUCUUUUAUAUAAGUAUUCUAACCUUCCUGCUUUAUGCAUAAAGAUUCAGAACAACUGGAUCCCACGUCUAUAUAUGUAAUAUACUUGCAUGCUGUAUUCAGUAAGAUGAUUUUUAACAGUCGCGGCAAUGUGAUACUGCAAGUACAUGUCUUUGCAUUGUACACAUUUCCUUUGCUUUACACUUGUAAGCUGUCUUGGUUACUGGGAGUACAAGAUCAACAGUCUGGUACAAUAGAUUUACUACCAGACUGUUAACAGGCACUGUACCUUGGUGCCCCCUGUAAUCAAGUCAACAAUUCAUACCUUCUUUAACACUUUGUACAAUUGUUUUCAUUUAUAUAAUUAUUUAUUCUAAUCUCCCUGCAUUAGCAUAAAACAUUCAGAACAACUGGAUCCUACAUGUACAUGUGUUUUAUACUUGCAUACUGUACUUACUAAAAUAUAAUUAUACUGAUCUGAUUACAAUUUUAUAUCCAUUCACACAAUACUAUCAUUAUCUGCUGUCCCAGAAACUGAUGUGUGAAGCAGUUGGGUUAUUUUAUUUAUCAUGUUGUUAAUUUAAAUCUUGUCUGUAAUCAGUAUUUCAUAUAUAAUUAUAGAUGUGUGCAGUGCAGAAGUGUGAACUCUGUCAGUAUUACCGGUAGUACUUCUGAAUGAUUGUUAUUUAUUUUCAUUGUUAUGAUUAAUUGCUUGUUAACCUGUACAUGCCCCCCGAGGGCCCUUGAUUGUGAAUAAACAAUAAACAUAUAUUGUAUCAUGGCUGUGGUGUUUUUCCUUUAAUAAAAAGUGUACAAUAACUGGAGAUACACCGGUGGGCGGAACCAUCAUUUGCAUACUUUUGAAAACUGUGCCGUGUAAAUAAAUUAUUGAACACCACCUGACAGUGACAAUUUCAACUCAAGGUGAAGAUCAAAUCAGAAUUCACGAGAUUAAGGCCCGCGGCCGUGUCGAUAUCCAUUUUAUCAUCUCCCGAUUUAACUUCACGAAAUGUGUGGUCAUCACAUGCUUGUGAGAAAACAUUGAAUAAAAACUGUACAUCCAAAUCGUGUAAAUCGCCAAUGUUCAUAGUCGAGGUGCUCUGAUCAGACGCAUUAUGCACAUCCGCUCUCACUAACUAUCGGGUGAUGAGUGCAAGAUUGGCAUGGAUAGCGGGAAGAGGAAAAUACCCACGCGAUCACCUGACAAAAACUUUACUUUUCAUUGGGGUAAUUAAAAAAAAAAAUCGUGCAAUAACCACUGGUCACAUGACAGAUAUUAUAUUUCUAAUUGGUCAUGAUACAAGUAAGUUAUUGAAUAUUUAUAUACUCGUGCUUCGCACUCGUCACCGCCCUUCGUCCAAAUAAAUCAAGAUACACCGAAAUAAAUAUACAAUAACUAUUACAAAUUACGUGAAAUGGUUCUGGGAGUGUUCCGAUAUGUGGUGUGACAAGAAAAAAUACUCACGGCUCCAGCUUGCCCGCCUCACCCUGGCGUUUCGUUUCCCCGGCAUCCCACUACAGCGAUUGCGGUGGUGCUCUUCUUUAUUCUUUUCUUUUCCUGUUUUAAUUAUAUUCCAUCAUUUCUGUUAUCUUUUCUACUUUCAGUUUGACAAUAUUCCCGGAAGUAUAUAUACUGCUUAUUCAUGCACUGACGUAAUAUUUGUGUUGCUGACUAGGGUCUAAUUAUUGAUUAAACUCGCCGCUGAUAAUAUGCAGGUUUUGGCAAUGGUUCAGGUUUAUGUUUUCAGAAAUUUAAAGGGGGAAAAUCAUGUGAUAAUUAUAAAUGCGAUGUGUACAUAUAUUACCAAUACAUAACCUGAAUUAAAAAGAGUCUUUAGAUUCAUUUUUGAUUACAUUUGCUAGAUUGUAACACAUGAAAAUGAAAACACAUUCCCUGUUAUUUUUUCUCAAUUUUCACGAGUUCAGUAUUGUUACUUACUUAAUUUGUGGUGCAUCUGUCUUUCAUCCUGUUUUUUCUUAAGCUGUGAAAAAAAAAAAAAAAAAGAGAAGUAAAAUCCCACGAAUGUGUCUUUUGUUGUGUACCUUGCAUCUCGGGCCUAAGUUGGACGGGAUAAUAAACAGACGCUAUUACCUGUCCGGGAUACAAACAUUUAUUUGCCUACCUGUGAAAAUAUAUCACAAUAUAAAUUCGGGGUAUCUUAUGGGUUUUUGUUUUACGCCUUUACCUUACAGAAUGUGAAGUUCAUCGAUGUCCAAGUUAAAGAUGAAACAGAAUAUUUUGUUCACAAAUAUUUUCUAAAGGAGGAUUCAAAUAUAUUCAUUUUAGGCAGACAUUUCUUGGAUAAUUUGAAGUUGUCCACAUAUUCCUAAUAUAAUUUGGAAUCACGUGAUAUGUCUAGGUUGUUUGCUUUAUUGACUUCGUCGGUUUAAACAAAUUACUCCUUCCGCUUUUUCUACAUGUAAAUACCCUUCCGCUCUUUCUUCAUGUACAUACCCUGUGAUCAAUACAAACGAUUCGUCAUUUAUUUCUUUUAUAUAAUUUUUUUUUUUAUAAUUUAACUAGUUUCAUUUCUUCAAUGUAUAGGUUUUUUUGACCAUAUCAAGAAAUAAAACAAAAAUACACUGUAAAUUGAAACAGCAUUGGUUUAUCACUGUCAGAUUUACAUUGGUAGGUGUUCAAGCAUAUGUCGUUAAUAAUCUCUCUAUUAAAUGGAGAGAGAAAUCAACAUCAUAUGAUAGCUACGCUAGAAAAGUUUAAACCCAAACAAAUUAUCAAUUACAUAAAUACUAUCAAAUCAUGUUUAUAUUUAAUAGGGAGGAGUUUUAGUUCAUUCUUAUUACAUGUACGUGAUGAUAUAUAUUUUUGGCGGAUGGAUAUGAAAAAAUCAAAGGCUUUUUUUUUUCUCCUUAUGAGGGAAACAAAUAAUGAAUUUUCAAACUGUCAUAGUAUGGAACAGACUAAAUAACGAAAAUAUUGUAUGACUCAAAAUUUCAGGAAUAAUUCUCCAGAACAACAAACAUAAACAUUUUCUAUAAAUACUUUUAUGUGAGAUAUGCUUGCUUGUGUCAUACGAUAAAUAUACGUACGUUUUCGAAAAAGAAAUUAUUUUAAAAAAAUAUUACUCUUAUGAGCAAAAAUCUCUAUAUGAUGCACCAGUUGUAUUGUCUUCGGGUCAUCGGCUAACCUAACCCAAUAUAAUCAAUAGUAAUUUACUCAAUUUAAAAGAAAGGUGAACAAAAGUUACAAUAUAGCCUACUUUACACUACUGACAUAGUUUUAUGAAAAAUUACACCAGAAAUACCCCUCCCCUGUGCAGCAAAGUUUCAUCCUACCGUGUCGGAGAGUCUUUCAUCCUACCGUGUCGGAGAGUCAGGAAUAUUACAACGUGCAAACCUUUUCCCUCUUUCAAAUUAUAUUAUAUUAGGCCUAUACAAUAGAUUUUAGCAUUGACUUCACUUGUAGAUAGAACUGUUACUGUCUGAUGAGCACCUGUUUAACGAGGGGCUGGUUAGAAUCCUUAAUCCAUUCAUUAUCACUAUUGCAUUCUUCUUUCUCCUCAUCGUCAGAUCCCAUAAAGAGGGUUUUCAAAGUCUUGAAAACACCGGCCAUGUUGUAUUAUAGACGUGCGAAGAAGAGAU